rnacentral:rRNA from 1 species
UACGUAGGGUGCAAGCGUUAAUCGGAAUUACUGGGCGUAAAGCGUGCGCAGGCGGUUGUGCAAGACAGAUGUGAAAUCCCCGGGCUCAACCUGGGAAUUGCAUUUGUGACUGCACGGCUAGAGUGUGUCAGAGGGGGGGUAGAAUUCCACGUGUAGCAGUGAAAUGCGUAGAGAUGUGGAGGAAUACCGAUGGCGAAGGCAGCCCCCCUGGGAUAACACUGACGCUCAUGCACGAAAGCGUGGGGGAGCAAACAGG